UUCAUUUUCGACUUUUGCUUUCUCAAUAAGCUUGAAAAUAUCUGUACAUGCUCAGUGGUUCUAUAUAUGUGUGUGUAAAUGCUCUGGCAGUGUGCAUUGUGAAUUGAAUUCCCAUCCACUUUAUGAAUAGAAACAAUAGGCGUAUGACCACAGCCGAUUCUCCCCACCCAUCAUCGGAGCCCAAAUCGUCGUUUCUUGAACACGCACAGGAGUCUUGAAUAUUCCAACUAAUUUCUGCAAUUCCUUUUCACAAAUUAAUAGACCCAGUUCCCAAAAGAGUUGAAUUUCAAGUCUCCGAUCACUGGCUCAGUAAAACACCAUCAUCACCAUGGGUUUGCCUUUGGUGGCAUUGGCCAAGCUCAAACUCCUUUCCGCCACCCACACUACUCCCAGCCCCUUGGUAACCAGCUUGGUUUGGCCUUUUCUCCUCAAACUCUCCUUCGGUUUCGGGCUGGCUCGUCGUACUUACAUAGACGUAGUCUAUGCAGCCAGGCUCUUCUUUUUCCAACUGGGUCAGAUUGCCUUCGAUACUGAGCCGGCUCUGGGCCACAACUCCAGAGUUGAGCGAGCUCUCCGGUUAGUGUACCAGAGGGUGACCUACGCUUCACGAUCACAAGCUCCGGAAUUGGAUGCCGACAACUUCCACACCCUCUCCAUGAUCGCACUUUAAGUGCUGCAUCUCCAGCUUGUUCCUACGAUGAUUUGAGUUCUCGAUCUUUCGGAGGUAGAUCGAUGUAUUUCCGUUCAGUUGGGUGUAUUACUGUUAAAGCACUGCAGAUUUGUUUGUGGGUGUUUUUGUCCUCUUGGUGAUCUUGCCGGAAAGUCGCAAAACAUGAUUUAAUUUAUGGAAGUGUAAUUAAAGUCUUAUGUUCGACGACUUUGCUUCUUGUACGUGUUUGGUAGUUGAAACUAUAAAGUCCCUUCAUUUUCUUUC